AGCAGCCGCGGUAAUUCCAGCUCCAAUAGCGUAUAUUAAAGUUGUUGCAGUUAAAAGCUCGUAGUUGAAUUUCGGGGUUAGCAGGUCGGUCGUGCCAUCGGUAUGAACUGGUCUCGCUGAUCCCUCCCUCUUGACGAACUGUGAUGCCAUUAAUUUGGUGUCGCAGGGAAUCAGGACUGUUACUUUGAAAAAUUAGAGUGUUUAAAGCAGGCUCACGCUUGAAUACAUUAGCAUGGAAUAAUGAAAUAGGACGUUUGAUCCUAUUUUGUUGGCUUCUAGGAUUGACGUAAUGAUUAAUAGGGAUAGUUGGGGGCAUUAGUAUUCAAUUGUCAGAGGUGAAAUUCUUGGAUUUAUUGAAGACUAACUACUGCGAAAGCAUUUGCCAAGGAUGUUUUCAUUAAUCAAGAACGAAAGUUAGGGGAUCGAAGACGAUCAGAUACCGUCGUAGUCUUAACCAUAAACUAUGCCGACUAGGGAUCGGAUGAUGUUAAAUUUUUUAAUGUACU
rnacentral:misc_RNA from 1 species